GUAGGAUAGAGGCCUACCAUGGUGGUAACGGGUAACGGGGUGUUAGGGCACGACACCGGAGAGGGAGCCUGAGAAACGGCUACCACAUCCAAGGAUGGCAGCAGGCGCGCAAAUUACCCAAUCCCGACACGGGGAGGUAGUGACAAUAAAUAACAAUACGGGGUUCUUUCGGAUUUCGUAAUUGGAAUGAGUACAAUUUAAAUCUCUUAACGAGGAACAAUUGGAGGGCAAGUCUGGUGCCAGCAGCCGCGGUAAUUCCAGCUCCAAUAGCGUAUAUUAAAGUUGCUGCAGUUAAAAAGCUCGUAGUUGAAUUUCGGGACCAAUAUGUCGGUCGUGCCUCGGUACGUACUGGCAUCGUUGGUUUCUCCCUUCUGACGAACCAUGAUGUCAUUUAUUUGGUGUCGUGGGGAAUCAGGACUGUUACUUUGAAAAAAUUAGAGUGUUUAAAGCAGGCUCACGCUUGAAUACAUUAGCAUGGAAUAAUGAAAUAGGACGUUUGAUUCUAUUUUGUUGGUUUCUAGGAUCGACGUAAUGAUUAAUAGGGAUAGUUGGGGGCAUUAGUAUUCAAUUGUCAGAGGUGAAAUUCUUGGAUUUAUUGGAGACUAACUACUGCGAAAGCAUUUGCCAAGGAUGUUUUCAUUAAUCAAGAACGAAAGUUAGGGGAUCGAAGACGAUCAGAUACCGUCGUAGUCUUAACCAUAAACUAUGCCGACUAGGGAUCGGAUGAUGUUAAUUUUUUAAUGACUCAUUCGGCGCCUUACGGGAAACCAAAGUGUUUGGGUUC
rnacentral:rRNA from 1 species